rnacentral:rRNA from 1 species
UACGUAGGGACCAAGCGUUGUUCGGAUUUACUGGGCGUAGAGGGCGCGUAGGCGGCGUGACAAGUCACUUGUGAAAUCUCUGAGCUUAACUCAGAACGGCCAAGUGAAACUGUUGUGCUAGAGUGCAGAAGGGGCAAUCGGAAUUCUUGGUGUAGCGGUGAAAUGCGUAGAUAUCAAGAGGAACACCUGAGGUGAAGACGGCAUCCUGGACCGGUAUUGACGCUGAGGCGCGAAAGCUAGGGUAGCAAACGGG